rnacentral:lncRNA from 1 species
UUCAACAUGGAUCCGCUUUGGAGGUAGCAUUCGAGAUCACCUUGGAACUUUCAUCUUUGAUUUCUCCGGCAACUGUGGUGUCACCAUCUGUCUCAAAGCAAAACUUUAUGUUAUUUUCUAUGAUCUUCGAAAAGCUUGGGAAGAUAGAUAGCUUCCACAAUAUCGUUUUUGAAUUGGACUCAAAGCUAGUUCUUCAUCUUAUCACAACAUGGGAAUG